rnacentral:rRNA from 1 species
AUGCUGGCCCCAGNAGUGUGGAAUAUACGCCUANGUNAGUUGAGGUAAUGNGCAUCACCUAGGCGACGAUCCCUAGUCUGGUCUGAGAGGAUGACCAGCCACACUGGAACUGAGACACGGUCCAGACUCCUACGGGAGGCAGCAGUGGGGAAUAUUGCACAAUGGGCGCAAGCCUGAUGCAGCCAUGCCGCGUGUGUGAAGAAGGCCUUCGGGUUGUAAAGCACUUUCAGCGAGGAGGAAGGGUUCNGUGUUAAUAGCACUGUUCAUUGACGUUACUCGCAGAAGAAGCACCGGCUAACUCCGUGCCAGCAGCCGCGGUAAUACGGAGGGUGCAAGCGUUAAUCGGAAUUACUGGGCGUAAAGCGCACGCAGGCGGUUUGUUAAGUCAGAUGUGAAAUCCCCGAGCUUAACUUGGGAACUGCAUUUGAAACUGGCAAGCUAGAGUCUUGUAGAGGGGGGUAGAAUUCCAGGUGUAGCGGUGAAAUGCGUANAGAUCUGGAGGAAUACCGGUGGCGAAGGCGGCCCCCUGGACAAAGACUGACGCUCAGGUGCGAAAGCGUGGGNAGCAAC